AGUGAACGCUGGCGGUAGGCCUAACACAUGCAAGUCGAACGGCAGCACAGUAAGAGCUUGCUCUUACGGGUGGCGAGUGGCGGACGGGUCAGGAAUACAUCGGACUCUACUUUUUCGGGGGGGAUAACGUAAGGAAACUUACGCUAAUACCGCAUACGACCUACGGUUGAAAGCAGGGGAUCUUCGGACCCUGCGCGAUAGAAUGAGCCGAUGUCGGAUUAGCUAGUUGGCGGGGUAAAGGCCCACCAAGGCGACGAUCCGUAGCUGGUGUGAGAGGAUGAUCAGCCACACUGGAACUGAUACACGGUCCAGACUCCUACGGGAGGCAGCAGUGGGGAAUAUUGGACAAUGGGCGCAAGCCUGAUCCAGCCAUACCGCGUGGGUGAAGAAGGCCUUCGGGUUGUAAAGACCUUUUGUUGGGAAAGAAAAGCAGCAGGUUAAUACCCCGCUGUUCUGACGGUACCCAAAGAAUAAGCACCGGCUAACUUCGUG
rnacentral:rRNA from 1 species